rnacentral:rRNA from 1 species
CUAAACCAUGCACCGAAGCUGCGGCAGCGACACUGUGUGUUGUUGGGUAGGGGAGCGUUCUGUAAGCCUGUGAAGGUGUGUCGUGAGGCAUGCUGGAGGUAUCAGAAGUGCGAAUGCUGACAUAAGUAACGAUAAAGCGGGUGAAAAGCCCGCUCGCCGGAAGACCAAGGGUUCCUGUCCAACGUUAAUCGGGGCAGGGUGAGUCGACCCCUAAGGCGAGGCCGAAAGGCGUAGUCGAUGGGAAACGGGUUAAUAUUCCCGUACUUGGUGUUACUGCGAAGGGGGGACGGAGAAGGCUAUGUUGGCCGGGCGACGGUUGUCCCGGUUUAAGCGUGUAGGUGUGUGUUCCAGGUAAAUCCGGUUCACUUUAACACUGAGGCGUGACGACGAGGCACUACGGUGCUGAAGCAACAAAUGCCCUGCUUCCAGGAAAAGCCUCUAAGCAUCAGGUAACAUCAAAUCGUACCCCAAACCGACACAGGUGGUCAGGUAGAGAAUACCAAGGCGCUUGAGAGAACUCGGGUGAAGGAACUAGGCAAAAUGGUGCCGUAACUUCGGGAGAAGGCACGCUGACACGUAGGUGAAGUGAUUUACUCAUGGAGCUGAAGUCAGUCGAAGAUACCAGCUGGCUGCAACUGUUUAUUAAAAACACAGCACUGUGCAAACACGAAAGUGGACGUAUACGGUGUGACGCCUGCCCGGUGCCGGAAGGUUAAUUGAUGGGGUCAGCGCAAGCGAAGCUCCUGAUCGAAGCCCCGGUAAACGGCGGCCGUAACUAUAACGGUCCUAAGGUAGCGAAAUUCCUUGUCGGGUAAGUUCCGACCUGCACGAAUGGCGUAAUGAUGGCCAGGCUGUCUCCACCCGAGACUCAGUGAAAUUGAACUCGCUGUGAAGAUGCAGUGUACCCGCGGCAAGACGGAAAGACCCCGUGAACCUUUACUAUAGCUUGACACUGAACAUUGAGCCUUGAUGUGUAGGAUAGGUGGGAGGCUUUGAAGUGUGGACGCCAGUCUGCAUGGAGCCGACCUUGAAAUACCACCCUUUAAUGUUUGAUGUUCUAACGUGGACCCGUUACCCGGGUUGCGGACAGUGUCUGGUGGGUAGUUUGACUGGGGCGGUCUCCUCCUAAAGAGUAACGGAGGAGCACGAAGGUUGGCUAAUCCUGGUCGGACAUCAGGAGGUUAGUGCAAUGGCAUAAGCCAGCUUGACUGCGAGCGUGACGGCGCGAGCAGGUGCGAAAGCAGGUCAUAGUGAUCCGGUGGUUCUGAAUGGAAGGGCCAUCGCUCAACGGAUAAAAGGUACUCCGGGGAUAACAGGCUGAUACCGCCCAAGAGUUCAUAUCGACGGCGGUGUUUGGCACCUCGAUGUCGGCUCAUCACAUCCUGGGGCUGAAGUAGGUCCCAAGGGUAUGGCUGUUCGCCAUUUAAAGUGGUACGCGAGCUGGGUUUAGAACGUCGUGAGACAGUUCGGUCCCUAUCUGCCGUGGGCGCUGGAGAACUGAGGGGGGCUGCUCCUAGUACGAGAGGACCGGAGUGGACGCAUCACUGGUGUUCGGGUUGUCAUGCCAAUGGCACUGCCCGGUAGCUAAAUGCGGAAGAGAUAAGUGCUGAAAGCAUCUAAGCACGAAACUUGCCCCGAGAUGAGUUCUCCCU